rnacentral:sRNA from 1 species
UGUGUCACCAAUCCGUUGUAAUGUUAAUGAGAAGUGAAUAAGCAGCAAAAGGGUCACAUUUUAUCUUAAAAACCAACAGAUCAAACACAAAUUUU